GAACCUUACCUGGUCUUGACAUCCACAGAACUUUCCAGAGAUGGAUUGGUGCCUUCGGGAACUGUGAGACAGGUGCUGCAUGGCUGUCGUCAGCUCGUGUUGUGAAAUGUUGGGUUAAGUCCCGCAACGAGCGCAACCCUUAUCCUUUGUUGCCAGCGGUCCGGCCGGGAACUCAAAGGAGACUGCCAGUGAUAAACUGGAGGAAGGUGGGGAUGACGUCAAGUCAUCAUGGCCCUUACGACCAGGGCUACACACGUGCUACAAUGGCAUAUACAAAGAGAAGCGACCUCGCGAGAGCAAGCGGACCUCAUAAAGUAUGUCGUAGUCCGGAUUGGAGUCUGCAACUCGACUCCAUGAAGUCGGAAUCGCUAGUAAUCGUAGAUCAGAAUGCUACGGUGAAUACGUUCCCGGGCCUUGUACACACCGCCCGUCACACCAUGGGAGUGGGUUGCAAAAGAAGUAGGUAGCUUAACCUUCGGGAGGGCGCUUACCACUUUGUGAUUCAUGACUGGGGUGAAGUCGUAACAAGGUAACCGUAGGGGAACCUGCGGUUGGAUCACCUCCUU
rnacentral:rRNA from 1 species